rnacentral:rRNA from 1 species
CCUACGGGAGGCAGCAGUGAGGAAUAUUGGACAAUGGGCGCAAGCCUGAUCCAGCCAUGCCGCGUGCAGGAAGACGGUCCUAUGGAUUGUAAACUGCUUUUAAUACAGGAAGAAACACCUCUACGUGUAGAGACUUGACGGUACUGUAUGAAUAAGCAUCGGCUAACUCCGUGCCAGCAGCCGCGGUAAUACGGAGGAUGCAAGCGUUAUCCGGAAUCAUUGGGUUUAAAGGGUCCGUAGGCGGUUUAAUAAGUCAGUGGUGAAAGCCCAUCGCUCAACGAUGGAACGGCCAUUGAUACUGUUAAACUUGAAUUAUUAGGAAGUAACUAGAAUAUGUAGUGUAGCGGUGAAAUGCUUAGAGAUUACAUGGAAUACCAAUUGCGAAGGCAGGUUACUACUAAUAUAUUGACGCUGAUGGACGAAAGCGUGGGGAGCGAACAGGAUUAGAUACCCUGGUAGUCCACGCCGUAAACGAUGGAUACUAGCUGUUCGGAGCAAUCUGNGUGNGAGAGAAGAGAGUAAGUAUACCACCGUCGGGUAGGUACGUUACGACGAGAAGAGAAACGUACGAAAGUAAAGUUAGUACGGACGUAGAGACGUACGACGACGGACGACGACGAGGGGAGGAGG